GGAGUUAGCCGGUGCUUCUUCUGUGAGUGAUGUCCUUCCUGCCGGCUAUUAACCCGCAGGCCUUCUUCCUCACUGAAAGUGCUUUACAACCCGAAGGCCUUCUUCACACACGCGGCAUGGCUGGAUCAGGGUUGCCCCCAUUGUCCAAUAUUCCCCACUGCUGCCUCCCGUAGGAGUCUGGGCCGUGUCUCAGUCCCAGUGUGGCUGAUCAUCCUCUCAGACCAGCUACGGAUCGUCGCCUUGGUGAGCCGUUACCUCACCAACCAGCUAAUCCGACAUAGGCUCAUCCGAUAGCGCGAGGCCCGAAGGUCCCCCGCUUUCCCCCGUAGGGUGUAUGCGGUAUUAGCCUGGGUUUCCCCAGGUUAUCCCCCACUACCGGGCAGAUUCCUAUGCAUUACUCACCCGUCCGCCGCUCGCCACCAGGGAGCAAGCUCCCCGUGCUGCCGCUCGACUUGCAUGUGUUAGGCCUGCCGCCAGCGUUCAAUCUGAGCCAGAAUCGAACCCUGA
rnacentral:rRNA from 1 species